rnacentral:rRNA from 1 species
GGUCCAGACUCCUACGGGAGGCAGCAGUGGGGAAUAUUGGACAAUGGGGGGAACCCUGAUCCAGCGACGCCGCGUGAGUGAAGAAGUAUUUCGGUAUGUAAAGCUCUAUCAGCAGGGAAGAAAGAAAUGACGGUACCUGACUAAGAAGCCCCGGCUAACUACGUGCCAGCAGCCGCGGUAAUACGUAGGGGGCGAGCGUUAUCCGGAUUCACUGGGUGUAAAGGGAGCGUAGACGGCCGUGCAAGCCAGGAGUGAAAGCCCGGGGCCCAACCCCGGGACUGCUCUUGGAACUGUGCGGCUGGAGUGCGGGAGGGGCAGGCGGAAUUCCUGGUGUAGCGGUGAAAUGCGUAGAUAUCAGGAGGAACACCGGCGGCGAAGGCGGCCUGCUGGACCGCGACUGACGUUGAGGCUCGAAAGCGUGGGGAGCGAACAGGAUUAGAUACCCCCGUAGCC